GGGGAGGAGGAGGAAGGCACCUUGGGGAGGAAAGUGCCGCUGACGAGGGAGCCCUCCGGCACAGAGGAGUUUGGGAACUGGGAGCAAACUGGGAACGCGGGGCAGGAAAAUAAACCGGAAGCCGUUUGGGGAAAAGGUGGAUAGGGCACUGGUCCAGCGGUCCUGCGGGGGAAGGAACGGCCGGGUUGUCCUGGCAGCAUCAAGGAAAGAAACACAAGCCCGGGAGCUCUGCGGACGUGGAGGUACUGGACUUGCUACCACUGUAUCCCAAGUGCUGGAACAGGGUAAGCCCUCCAAACAUUGGCUGAAUACCUGAAAUUGUGUACAAGUACGGAGAUGAUUCCUCUUUCUCUCUCUCCGCCUCAUCGGCUGUCCUCCCAGCUACCCCUUGGGAGGCAGCUGCUUAUAUUGGGGAGUCCUGGCUUAGUAGCCAAGAAAUGGGGAGGUCUGUCUCCAUCCCCCACUUGUUAACUUGCAUGUGGCUUCAGGCUUCAGGAUGAACAGUCUCUUCUACAAUGUUCUUUUUUGCUGAGAGGUUUCAACUGAUCUGUGCUACUGACCUCACAGGUUGUUGGAAGGAUAAAACAAUGUUGUAGAUGUAUCAUCGGAACUCCUACAGCUUAAAACAAUUGUUCAUACUUGAGUGAUUCUUAACCACUUUGCUUUUGCUUUGGCCAAAAGGGGUGGAGACUCAUCCCGGGGGUAGGACACUUGCAUCAGGUCCAGUCCUUAGGCUCACACUCCAGCUCGCCUGGUCGUUCUGGCCACACGCCUCCUCACAUGCCCACAUCUAGGUUCUGAGACUGGCCCCUCCCUUCACAGGCACCCACAAUCCUCUUUCCCAUCUUCCAGGCAGAUCUCCGCACUCCGGGUCCCUGUCUGCUCCCCCGGCGAGGCCUUGCCAAGUCAAUCGAGAGUGCAUUACCCCCUCCUCUCUCUCAGCUUCCACCCCACCCAUGGUCCACUAGAUCUCACCCACUGUUUGUUUCUCCAUUGCUUGGUUUUCCCUGCCUGCUCUUCAGCAGUUGGCUUACUGCCAGUUCCUGCAUCCUUGACCUUCUCUGUGUGUUUGGCCUCCCCCAGAGAACUGGGAGUAUCAGGCCCUGGAGGGUGCAAUCUUGUCAGAUGCUGGUGAGCUUGACUGCCAAGGUGAGCGGUUAGGCCUCAGCAGAGGACAAGCAGGCUUGCCCCCGAGCCGGCUCCUGUAUUAGUCUCCAGCGUGACCUUCUGUCCUUCCUCCAUACUUCAUCAUGCAGCCCCUGAAGAAGAGGCAGCAGAUGUGACCCUGCUAGGCUGGCCCCUGCUUUUAUGGCCAGGGGCUGGGGGAAGGGGCAGUGUGUGAUGCCGGCCUCUUCCAGCCCUCUGUGGUCCCCAUUUGAACUCUUACCCCCAAGGCUUCCCUCAGCCUGGCAUUGCCUCUCCCAAGUGCUCCCAGGUGUUCCAGAAAGAACAAAUAGAUUUGGGGACCCAAUGCAACCUUUUAAUUCCAAGCAGAGUCCCCCUCCCAC